rnacentral:rRNA from 2 species
CACGUAGGGGGCAAGCGUUGUCCGGAUUUAUUGGGCGUAAAGAGCUCGUAGGUGGUUCAGUAAGUCGGGUGUGAAACCUCCAGGCUCAACCUGGAGACGCCACCCGAUACUGCUGUGACUAGAGUCCAGUAGGGGAGCGUGGAAUUCCUGGUGUAGCGGUGAAAUGCGCAGAUAUCAGGAGGAACACCAGUGGCGAAGGCGGCGCUCUGGGCUGGAACUGACACUGAGGAGCGAAAGCGUGGGGAGCGAACAGG